UACGUAGGGGGCAAGCGUUAUCCGGAUUUACUGGGUGUAAAGGGAGCGUAGACGGUUAUGCAAGUCUGAAGUGAAAGCCCAAGGCUCAACCAUGGGACUGCUUUGGAAACUGUAAAACUGGAGUGCAGGAGAGGUAAGCGGAAUUCCUAGUGUAGCGGUGAAAUGCGUAGAUAUUAGGAGGAACACCAGUGGCGAAGGCGGCUUACUGGACUGUAACUGACGUUGUGGCUCGAAGGCGUGGGGAGCAAACAGG
rnacentral:rRNA from 1 species